rnacentral:tRNA from 1 species
GCCUAAAUAAUUAAACGGUAUAAUACCCGUUUUACACGCGGGUUUUGAUGGUUCAAUUCCAUUUUUAGGUU